rnacentral:misc_RNA from 1 species
AAGUCGUAACAAGGUUUCCGUAGGUGAACCCGGAAGGAUCAUUAACACGUAUCCAACGUUUAACCACCCGUGCACCUUCAUCGAACGACGCGGAGGGAAGUUAUGCGGUACCUGGGUGCAGUGAACCAGCUCCGGUUUUCUCUCGAUAUUGUUUGCCUCGCGAAACCAAAGUCUCUGGGAAUACUGUACUUCUUGGGAGGCGGGAAGUUCGGCUUCCUUGCCUUCGUCGGGUGGUCAUUGUGUCUUCGGGAAGUCGCGCUCUUUGCUGGUUCCAAGUUUAAACGGAUUAAGCUUCCGCGAGGUCGUGGUGCGUCCCCCCGUGGUUCAUAUUUACCGCGGCAAAACUUGACAACUUUAACCAACCGCGCUUCAGCCAAAAGCUGGAGUCGGAAACCCUGAACAACUGUUAGCAAUGGAUAUCUUGGCUCUC